rnacentral:rRNA from 1 species
CGAACGGGUGAGUAACACGUGGGUGAUCUGCCUUGCACUCUGGGAUAAGCUUGGGAAACUGGGUCUAAUACCGGAUAGGAACCGUCUUUAGUGUGGUGGUUGGAAAGUUUUUUCGGUGCAAGAUGAGCUCGCGGCCUAUCAGCUUGUUGGUGGGGUAAUGGCCUACCAAGGCGUCGACGGGUAGCCGGCCUGAGAGGGUGUACGGCCACAUUGGGACUGAGAUACGGCCCAG